rnacentral:rRNA from 1 species
AGAGUUUGAUCCUGGCUCAGAUUGAACGCUGGCGGCAUGCCUUACACAUGCAAGUCGAACGGCAGCACGGGUGCUUGCACCUGGUGGCGAGUGGCGAACGGGUGAGUAAUGUAUCGGAACGUACCAUUCAGUGGGGGAUAACUAUCCGAAAGGAUAGCUAAUACCGCAUAUUCUGUGAGCAGGAAAGCAGGGGAUCGCAAGACCUUGCGCUGAUUGAGCGGCCGAUAUCAGAUUAGCUAGUUGGUGGGGUAAAAGCCUACCAAGGCGACGAUCUGUAGCGGGUCUGAGAGGAUGAUCCGCCACACUGGAACUGAGACACGGUCCAGACUCCUACGGGAGGCAGCAGUGGGGAAUUUUGGACAAUGGGCGAAAGCCUGAUCCAGCCAUGCCGCGUGAGUGAAGAAGGCCUUCGGGUUGUAAAGCUCUUUCGGCCGGGAAGAAAUCGCAUAGGUUAAUACCCUGUGUGGAUGACGGUACCGGAAUAAGAAGCACCGGCUAACUACGUGCCAGCAGCCGCGGUAAUACGUAGGGUGCGAGCGUUAAUCGGAAUUACUGGGCGUAAAGCGUGCGCAGGCGGUUUUUUAAGACAGGCGUGAAAUCCCCGGGCUUAACCUGGGAACUGCGCUUGUGACUGGAAGGCUAGAGUACGGCAGAGGGGGGUGGAAUUCCACGUGUAGCAGUGAAAUGCGUAGAGAUGUGGAGGAACACCGAUGGCGAAGGCAGCCCCCUGGGCCGAUACUGACGCUCAUGCACGAAAGCGUGGGGAGCAAACAGGAUUAGAUACCCUGGUAGUCCACGCCCUAAACGAUGUCAACUAGGUGUUGGGUGGGUAAAACCAUUUAGUACCGGAGCUAACGCGUGAAGUUGACCGCCUGGGGAGUACGGCCGCAAGGUUAAAACUCAAAGGAAUUGACGG